GGACAGUAAAGGGAGGAGAGAAGAGGGAGACACUGAAGGGAGGAGAGAAGAGGAGGACACUGAAGGGAGGAGAGAAGACCGUGACAAUGUCAACAGUGAAGCAACGUCCUUUGACCAAAUACCCCCCCACUCUCUUGAUUCGCUUGAGACAGAGAAGAGACGUGAAGAAAGAGAUGCUACAUUUGUGGAUGAUAACAGGGCGACCCUCAUUCAGAGGGUUACCACGGUGAAACCCAUAGCAGAAACACUUCUUCAGUGGCGUAUGAUCCACAAAGAGGCGUACCUUAAGAUCCUUGCUGCCCAGACCACACCAGAUCAGAUGAGCAGCUGUACAACGUCUUAAACACAGACAAAGUCAAAUCAGUCUUCUAUAAGCUCCUUCAGAAGCAAGAGCCUUAUUUGGUCCAGGUGUCAGGUGGGCCUGUCUGUAUGGAGGUGGAUUGCUAUGGACAGACUAUGUGCAUUGGGCAGAGCAGCGGUAUGUCUGAUAAGGCUAACCUCACACACUGUAAUACUGUACACACACACACACACACACAAACUUUAAAGUUGUAUUAGUCGUAUGUAAAGGAUACACAUGGUAUACGACAACAAUAAGAAAUAGAAAAGAUAACAACA